UACGGGGGGGGCAAGCGUUGUUCGGAAUUACUGGGCGUAAAGGGCGCGUAGGCGGCCUUCUAAGUCGAACGUGAAAUCCCCGGGCUCAACCCGGGAACUGCGUCCGAUACUGGAAGGCUUGAAUCCGGGAGAGGGAUGCGGAAUUCCAGGUGUAGCGGUGAAAUUCGUAGAUAUUCGGAAGAACACCAGUGGCGAAGGCGACUUACUGGACACAUAUUGACGCUGAGGUGCGAAAGCGUGGGGAGCAAACAGG
rnacentral:rRNA from 1 species